rnacentral:rRNA from 1 species
CCCCUUUAGACGGGGACAACAUUCCGAAAGGAGUGCUAAUACCGGAUGUGAUCAUCGUGCCGCAUGGCAGGAUGAAGAAAGAUGGCCUCUACAAGUAAGCUAUCGCUAAAGGAUGGGCCUGCGUCUGAUUAGCUAGUUGGUAGUGUAACGGACUACCAAGGCGAUGAUCAGUAGCCGGUCUGAGAGGAUGAACGGCCACAUUGGGACUGAGACACGGCCCAA